rnacentral:rRNA from 1 species
AGGCCCCCGCCGGUUGGUUGUGAAGAAGGUCCUUCGGAUUGUAAAGCACUUUAACUUGGGAGGAAGGGCAUCAAGUUAUUACCUUGCUGUUUUGACCUUACUAACCCAAUAAGCACCUGCUCACUUCGUGCCAUCAGCCGCGGUAAUACGAAGGGUGCAAGCCUUAAUCGGAAUUACUGGGCGUAAAGCGCGCGUAGGUGGUUCAGCAAGUUGGAUGUGAAUUCCCCUGGCUCAACCUGGGAACUGCAUCCAAAACUACUGAGCUAGAGUACGGUAGAUG